rnacentral:lncRNA from 1 species
UCCUGGGGGACUUCUCCGCCACGCUGCUCGGAUCUCGGGGCGCCCGUCUCCCUGCGUCCCCGGCCAGGCCCUGCCCUGCCCAGGAGGGCGCUGCUGGCACUGGGGCUCCAGGACCCAGGAUCCGGAAAAUAGCAAGAAAAUUAGUAUGCCUGUGCUCCCUUGGGACUCACUGGAAACUGUACCGUGACAUCUGCUGGGACUUAGUCUGGGG